rnacentral:rRNA from 1 species
CCUACGGGAGGCAGCAGUGAGGAAUAUUGGUCAAUGGGCGAGAGCCUGAACCAGCCAAGUCGCGUGAAGGAUGACGGCCCUACGGGUGGUAAACUUCUUUUGUCAGGGAGCAAUUGGGUCCACGCGUGGGCUUAGCGAGAGUACCUGAAGAAAAAGCAUCGGCUAACUCCGUGCCAGCAGCCGCGGUAAUACGGAGGAUGCGAGCAUUAUCCGGAUUUAUUGGGUUUAAGGGUUGCGUAGGCGGAAUAUCAAGUCAGCGGGAAAAAUUCGGGGCUGAACCCCGUCGUGCCGUUGAAACUGAUGUUCUUGAGUGGUCGAGAGGUAUGCGGAAUGCGUGGUGUAGCGGUGAAAUGCUUAGAUAUCACGAAGAACCCCGAUUGCGAAGGCAGCUUACUAAACUGUGACUGACAUUGAUGCUCGAAAGUGUGGGUAUCAAACAGGAUUAGAUACCCCGGUAGUC